UACGUAGGGCGCAAGCGUUGUCCGGAAUUAUUGGGCGUAAAGAGCUCGUAGGCGGUUUGUCGCGUCUGUCGUGAAAGCUUGGGGCUUAACCCCAAGUCUGCGGUGGAUACGGGCAGACUAGAGGCAGGUAGGGGAGAACGGAAUUCCCGGUGUAGAGGAGAAAUUCGUAGAUAUCGGGAGGAACACCGGCGGCGAAAGCGGCCUUCUGGACGAGGACUGACGCUGAGAUGCGAAAGCGUGGGGAGCAAACAGG
rnacentral:rRNA from 1 species